AUGAACACUUGCCACGCUGCAUCUUGGUCCGAUCCUUACUCCUCUUCAGACAAAGAGGAAAUCUGCCAUUACAGAAACACCCACCACAAAGGACCAAGCGGCGUGGUAAUGGGCGGCAGCAGCAGCAGCAGCGAACACAAGACUCCUGGAUUUGGGAGGAGAAUAUGGACGGUAAAGGACCCUGGGCACAGCCAGGGGAAUAUCGCCGUCCCAAGGCAGAGCUGGAGGCAGCGGAGGCAGAGAGGCGCUGGUAUGAGGAGGCAACGCGGCUGGAAGCCUGAGGCACCGUGUUAUAAGGUGGAGCACACAGUCUCCCCAGUGCAUGUGUAUUGCCCGGUGCGGUACAUUCCAGCUCCUCGUAUCGGCGGGGCUAGAGUGGGCAUCGAGCCAGGUGCCAUGAAGCCGGCUUUAGGCAUCUGGUCUCCAGUGUGUCUCCUUGGGCCGGCAUACAUGGCACCAGUAUUACGCAUGGUGUCCCCGGUUCGCCAGCACAGCCCAGUGCGGGCUAUUCCACCUCGCUGCACUGGCAGGGUGACCGGGAGCAUUCAACCAGGUAAGGUUGGGCAGGCUCGGUGCUCAAGUGCUCCAGUGCGCCUGCAUGGUCCGGUCUAUCCAGUACCAACUCCAGCACCAGCCCUCCGGUGGCAGCCCCCCCGCACCAGGCUGUCUCUCCGUCAUCUGCCUACAGGUGCUCCUGCCUGUCCAGCGCUGCCAGAGCCUUCCUCCUGUCCUGAGCUGCUAGAGUCUCCCGUCUGUCCUGAGCUGCUAGAGCCGCCAGUCUGUCCAGAGCCGUCAGUCAGCCAGGAGCUGCCAGAGCCGUCAGUCAGCCAGGAGCUGCCAGAGGUGGUACCAGUCCGGUACCACCUGUGCCGGCUCCACGCACUAGGCCUUCAGUGCGCCUUCCCAGUCCGGUACGACCUGUGUCUCCUCCCCGCACUCUCCCUGAAGUGCGUGACACCAGUCCGGUGCCACCGGUACCGGCUCCACGCAUUAGGCCUCCAGUGCGUAUUCACAGUCCAGAGCUUCCGGCGAUGGUCCCCGGUCUGGAACCUCCUGCAACGGUCCCCGGUCCGGAACCUCCUGCGACAUCCCUGGUCUGGAACCCCCUGCGAUGGUCUGGAACCCCCUGCCACGGUCCAUAACCUCCUGCGAUGGUCGACGGUCCGGAGCUUCCAGGUACGGUGUCCAGUUCCGCUCCAAGGUCGGAGUCUUCCUCUGCGCCGGUGUCCAGUCCCGCUCCAAGGUCGGAGUCUUCCUUUGCGCUGGUGUCCAGUCCAAGCAUGGCGUCCGGUCCAGUCCUGCUCCAUUGCAGGAGCCUUCCUCUGCGCCGGUGUCCAGUCCAAGCACGGCGUCCAGUUCCAUGGCAGCAGCACUCAUCUACGCUGGUGUCCAGUCCAGACACGGCGUUGUGUCCCGCUCCUAGGCCAGAGCCUUCCUCAGCGCCAGUGA
rnacentral:lncRNA from 1 species